rnacentral:lncRNA from 1 species
UGGUGAUGCAAAUAUCUAUUAGAGGUCACCUUUGGCUAAGUACUGUUGUAAUUAUAGAAUAUCUUAUAGAGCCACUAUGGUUGGUACGGCCAUAGUUAUAGAGCGUACCAUGGUUUGGUUAGUCAGAAAUGUGCUUGAGAAAAUUAUCGUUAUUUGUUUCUGAUCUGGUCAUUCCACAUGGGUAGUCAGAAAUCUGUAUCUGCCUUCAGAGAUGGAAGUUGUAAUGACUUCGCAAGCAUGACACAAAAAUCUAAGCAUUUCAUGAUUUAUUUGAUUUUCUCUAUUAUCAGGUAUGCUGUGUGCUUUAUU